UUUCUACCCAGAACUACGUAAGCCUUGAUUUCUCUUUUGAGAUACGUAGGAGCAGGAUUUGUAAAUCUUGUCAGGCCCAUUAAUAAAAAAACUUAGGUUUAGUCCUUCGUCAAAAAUCCAAAAACAUUUCUUCUCUCUUAUAUUCAUUCUUUCCCACCUAAUAACUUGAAAAGCCUAUCAUUUCAAACUAACAUUAACGCACAC
rnacentral:lncRNA from 1 species